rnacentral:rRNA from 1 species
AUUGAACGCUGGCGGCAGGCCUAACACUUGCAAGUCGAGCGGAUGAUGGGAGCUUGCUCCUGGAUUCAGCGGCGGACGGGUGAGUAAUGCCUAGGAAUCUGCCUGGUAGUGGGGGACAACGUUUCGAAAGGAACGCUAAUACCGCAUACGUCCUACGGGAGAAAGCAGGGGACCUUCGGGCCUUGCGCUAUCAGAUGAGCCUAGGUCGGAUUAGCUUGUUGGUGAGGUAAUGGCUCACCAAGGCGACGAUCCGUAACUGGUCUGAGAGGAUGAUCAGUCACACUGGAACUGAGACUCGGGCCAGACUCCUACGGGAGGCAGCAGUGGGGAAUAUUGGACAAUGGGCGAAAGCCUGAUCCAGCCAUGCCGCGUGUGUGAAGAAGGUCUUCGGAUUGUAAAGCACUUUAAGUUGGGAGGAAGGGUUGUAGAUUAAUACUCUGCAAUUUUGACGUUACCGACAGAAUAAGCACCGGCUAACUCUGUGCCAGCCGCCGCCGUAACAC